CUGUGAAGGAAAGAUGAAAAGCACUUUGAAAAGAGAGUGAAAAAGUACGUGAAAUUGUUAAAAGGGAAGGGUAUUGAAUCAGACUUGGUGCUGUUGUUCAACUGUGUUUCGGCAUAGUGUACUCAGCAGUACUAGGCCAAGGUGGGGUGUUUGGGAGUGAAAAAGAAGUUGGAACGUAACUCUUCGGAGUGUUAUAGCCUACUUUCAUAGCUCCUCAGGCGCCUCAGGACUGCGCUUCGGCAAGGACCUUGCCAUAAUGAUUCUAUACCGC
rnacentral:rRNA from 1 species